UUUGUGGUGCAUGCAGCAAUGACCCCACUAAAGGAGGACAAUCCUGGUGGCCUGAUGAAUGAGGAUGACAAAGACUACAUCCUAGAUCACGCAGAACAUCUGAACUGCAUGGUUCCUGGAGGACUGUCUGUGAUGGGCAUGUUUGUGGUCUCCCCGUCCCACCAGACCAAAGAGAGCCAUAUGAAAAUGAGGCGGACUAUGGCUGCUGUGGAGAGUCGUGUAUCCGAGGACAGGCUUUGGGGUUUCUCAGAGGAGGACACCAAUGACAGAGUGAUGCUUCAUAUCUGCUCCAACACCAACAAGUAUCCUCUUACUCAGUCUCCACUGCUGAUGACACACACACUCAUCCACACACUCAUCCACACACGCAGACACACACACUCAUCCACACACACAGACACACAAGCAGACACACACGCAGACACACGCAGACACACACACAUUCACACACGCAGACACACACACACAUGUAGACACACACGCAGACACACACACAUCCACAGACGCAGACACACACACACACAUGCAGAAACACACACACACACACACGCAGACACAUGCAGACACACACACUCUCACACACAUGCAGACACACACGCAGACACACACACACAUACACACACGCAGUCACACACACACACGCAGACACACACAGAGACACACACACAUAUCCACAGACACACACGCAGACACACACACGCAGACACACAUGCAGACACACAUCCACAGACAGACACGCGCAGACACACACACACAUCCACAUAUGCAGACACACACACACGCAGACACACACACGCAGACACACACACACUGACACACAUUCACAUAACACAAAGACUAAAGAGAACACACUCUUUCUUAGCAAUUUCAUCACAGAGUGACUUGCUGGAUUAUGAACAUUAAAGAACCUAGUAAAUCUUCUAAAUCUGCGACAUGGAGUUACCUGCCGUGGAUGACAGCGUUCUGGCCUGUUGCAGUCUGCCCUAUGGACAUCGACCUGAUGUUUCCUAUCAAGGACAAGACCCGCCACGGUCUGAUGCAGGCCAUGAAGGAUGGGAUGAUGAGGUGGGCAAAGAAGACUGAGGCCAGUGUUUGUCUCCUCAACAACAAACAUCUACCAGCUAAGACAAAUUUGAACCCCCCAACUAAGGCAAGUUUGGUGUGGUGUGCAACUGAAUAUUG